AAUGUUUACACACCAAAAAUAAAACUGUCCCUAUGAAGAGCAUUAAAUUUUAAGCGCUAUUGCGGCCUGCACGAAUCGCACAAAUUCUGUUCGGCUGGUAAAUGAAAUAUUAUAAUAUUAUUAUACGAGCGUCGUGGAGGCAAACUCGUACGCACAGCGUUCACAUUUCUUAUCAGUAUUUUCCUAAACCGUAAAUCCGUCGAGAUAGAUAAGAAUACUUACAGAAUACACGUUGGGAUUAUUAAUCCAAUUAUUCCAAUUUAAAAAUUGUGAAGAAGUUGUUUUCAAAUAUGUGUUCAGAAGUUUUCUAUGAUGAGUGAUAUCUAGGAGGCCCGCGAGACUCGCUACCCGCGGAGGAGACACACUAAUUGUUUUAGAUCGACCGGAGAUACCUCCAACCGCUGAUUGCUGUUUUGGUGGAAGUGGGAGUCCGUGUCGUGUACAUGGACAUCCUACGCGAGGCUGUGGCCCAGACCGUGCCCACGGAGAUGCCGGGCUUGUGCUUGGUUCGACCAAAAUAGUUAGACAAGCUGCCGCUCUCGGUGUUAACAGGCAACACAUGACGAACCAUCCCCACAGAACAUCUCAUCUGUUACUGUUGAAAUUGAAGUCAGUUUCAAUGAUGAUGAGGUGUAUUCCACAGAAUAAGCCAGCUUGCGGUCGUGCCGUGCAGUGUCACUCCCUAACGUGGAACUGCAACAAAACAAAAGCAUACUGGUCGUCAAUGAUGGUGAACAUUUAAACCAAACAACACUAGACAUGGUACUUUAAUGAUGUAAGAACAAGCUGUAGAAGAUAAAGCAGCUGUUCGUGCUGUUGCUGAUAUUGUUUUGAACAUCAUUCCACGUUCAAAACUUUUUUCCCAAUGUCAGAAGUUUGGACACACCCAUAAAUACUGUCACCACUAUCCAUUUGCAUGAAAUGUGGAUUAUAACAUGUUACCGACAGUUGUGCUAAAAAACAGGAGGAACCAGAAAAAUAUACAAACUGUAAUGGAAAUCACACAGCCGACUAUUAAGGAUGCCAAACCGUCUAAGAUUUAUUAAGUAUCGAAAUACAAAUCUGGAAAUAUCAAUAAAAAAAAUUAUUCAAUUCCAACAUUUGCCGUACCAUCUGCAACUUGAAGAAGCUGAAAGCACCUAAUUCAAAAGAAGAAGAUUACAUUCAUAGAUAAUAAUUUAAGAAUAUAUUUAGAUAAUUAUAAUAUUACAUUUAGUAAAUACUUUAAUUAAAUUUAACUAGAA